AUGUCCGGGAAGAGACCCUGCCGCCUGCCAGGUGCUCCCGAGACCCAGGCCUGUCCCAGCGCAGGGCCUGAGAGAGAGGAGAGAAGGCCAGGGUUUCCAGGCUUGAAGGGAAGCAGCCGAGCCACCAAGGGAGAGGGAACCUCGGCUCAUCGUGGGCCCGGAAGCAGGUUUACGGCUCACCCCAGACCCUCUGCUCAAAUGCCCACCAUGGAGUUGCUGCUUCCAAAGGUCGGUCCCUCUGAAGGAACAGAAUGUGGGGAGGGGUUGAUUGACAGCUGAUAGUGCUUCUCUAUCCGCCUGCUUUUCUGCGAACCCUGGAAAGUCACCCAUCCCCAGUAGCGCUUUUAGCUCCGGUUUCUUGCAGACCUGCUCUGAUCCAUCCAACAACCAGGAAAGUCCUGGUUAAAAACUCCAGUAAUGGUUGGAAAAGGAAAACAAAUACCCACAUUCCACAAGCUGCUGUGCAUAGUGAGACUCUAAUUCACACUUCUCGAUGGAUUGAUCUCCCUGGAAUACAUACGCUUCGUUGUAAUGCUUGGUACCCGAUCACCCACACAGAAAAAAGAGGAGCCACUCGUUCCUCGAAAUUGAAGAAGAGGACGAUUGAAAAUACAACUGCCAGCAGGACUUUUUGGUGUUUAAUUUCCCCAGAGCUUGACCUUUGCUAAGAGAGUUCAAUUUUGGCUUCUCUGUGGUAUUUGACAGAUUCCAGCUGAAGUGGAAUCUUGAGCCGCCGUAAAUGUCAGUCGCUGGAACAGAGACCUGUGAAGGGUUUGGCCCAACCCGGUAACGCUGGUUUCUCUGCUUUACAACAAGGCAGUGGGGACGCUUCUUCUGGACAGGCCCUGCUGAGUUUGGUGGCAAGUGGCACUGCUACAGCCCUGAAGGCUGAGGUCUCACCAUCUCUGGGAACGUGAGCCUGCUCUCGGCGGGAGGUGCAUUUCGGUUUUUCCACCUGAACUAAUGCACGUCGUGGGCAUGAAAACACUCCUAGAUUAGGCGUGAGGUAGGCUUCCGAGCACAGACUUAGAGUUUUAUGCACAUGAGUCAGGCAGGUCCUUCCACAGUGGACGCCACCUCGGCAUUCAGGCACUUCCUCAUGCUGGCAGUCAGUCGGGGUCAGCAGGCUGGGGGGCCUGAUUCUCCAGCCUCUUCAUCUCCUGCCACAGCUGUCACAGAAGCACCAUCACACUGGUCCCUGAGCACCUGGGACAGGCAGUCACCCUCUGACCUCGCUGGGUCAGGGGUCUUUAGAAAGAAAUAAGUUGAGGUUGAGGCGGUCGUCCGUGUGGCGUGUCCGAGCCAGUGCUGAGUGUACAGUAAACCACACGUUCAGAAACAUACAGCGCAGGCAUCGGCCUGCAGGUGGAUGGUACAGGACGGGGACAGAGGGCAGAUGGCCUCCCUGCCUUCCUGGGCACAGUGGUAAGUGGCAUUGCUCACCCUCUCACAGGGAAGGGUCCUUCCAGUGAGAUGUGAGAAGAGGAGGUUCCGGCCCUUUCUAGGCUGGUCGUGGAGCUCCUCCUGCAAACCCCUCCGUGUCCUCUCUUUGCUGCCGUCCAGAUGCCGAGAUCCAGGGGGGCCCUGGGAGGUGGUGGCGCAGUAGGUAGACGGGUCCUGGAGAGGCUGCGGCGGCAGAGCCCUCACACUGCCCAUGACCCGUGGUGGACUGUGUUUUGAGUGACCGAAAAAACAAAACGCUUUUAUUUGUGCAAACCACUGAGAUUUUGGAGUUAAAAUUAGCAAGAGGUGGAUUCUUGAGUUUGAAAUGAGCCAUGUUUCGGCACUUCCUUCCUUAAAAGAAAAGGUACCUAUUUCAACCUCAAACCAGCAUCUCGCUUCAUGGGGAAAUAUAAGCAUUCUCAUUACAGUUAGUAGCAGAACAAGGAUUUCCACAUUUACCAUUGCUAUUUAGCAUUGCUCUGGUGGUACUAGGCAAUGCGCUUAGAUGAGAGAAAUAAAUCAUGGGUUUUAACUAUACCA
rnacentral:lncRNA from 1 species